AUUGAACGCUGGCGGCAGGCCUAACACAUGCAAGUCGAGCGGAUGAAGGGAGCUUGCUCCUGGAUUCAGCGGCGGACGGGUGAGUAAUGCCUAGGAAUCUGCCUGGUAGUGGGGGAUAACGUCCGGAAACGGGCGCUAAUACCGCAUACGUCCUGAGGGAGAAAGUGGGGGAUCUUCGUACCUCACGCUAUCAGAUGAGCCUAGGUCGGAUUAGCUAGUUGGUGGGGUAAAGGCCUACCAAGGCGACGAUCCGUAACUGGUCUGAGAGGAUGAUCAGUCACACUGGAACUGAGACACGGUCCAGACUCCUACGGGAGGCAGCAGUGGGGAAUAUUGGACAAUGGGCGAAAGCCUGAUCCAGCCAUGCCGCGUGUGUGAAGAAGGUCUUCGGAUUGUAAAGCACUUUAAGUUGGGAGGAAGGACAGUAAGUUAAUACCUUGCUGUUUUGACGUUACCAACAGAAUAAGCACCGGCUAACUUCGUG
rnacentral:rRNA from 1 species